AGGAAGGCGCCCCCCCUAAUGAUGGAAGUCGAGCGGACAGAUGGGAGCUUGCUCCCUGAUGUUAGCGGCGGACGGGUGAGUAACACGUGGGUAACCUGCCUGUAAGACUGGGAUAACUCCGGGAAACCGGGGCUAAUACCGGAUGGUUGUCUGAACCGCAUGGUUCAGACAUAAAAGGUGGCUUCGGCUACCACUUACAGAUGGACCCGCGGCGCAUUAGCUAGUUGGUGAGGUAACGGCUCACCAAGGCGACGAUGCGUAGCCGACCUGAGAGGGUGAUCGGCCACACUGGGACUGAGACACGGCCCAGACUCCUACGGGAGGCAGCAGUAGGGAAUCUUCCGCAAUGGACGAAAGUCUGACGGAGCAACGCCGCGUGAGUGAUGAAGGUUUUCGGAUCGUAAAGCUCUGUUGUUAGGGAAGAACAAGUGCCGUUCAAAUAGGGCGGCACCUUGACGGUACCUAACCAGAAAGCCACGGCUAACUACGUGCCAGCAGCCGCGGUAAUACGUAGGUGGCAAGCGUUGUCCGGAAUUAUUGGGCGUAAAGGGCUCGCAGGCGGUUUCUUAAGUCUGAUGUGAAAGCCCCCGGCUCAACCGGGGAGGGUCAUUGGAAACUGGGGAACUUGAGUGCAGAAGAGGAGAGUGGAAUUCCACGUGUAGCGGUGAAAUGCGUAGAGAUGUGGAGGAACACCAGUGGCGAAGGCGACUCUCUGGUCUGUAACUGACGCUGAGGAGCGAAAGCGUGGGGAGCGAACAGGAUUAGAUACCCUGGUAGUCCACGCCGUAAACGAUGAGUGC
rnacentral:rRNA from 1 species